rnacentral:RNase_P_RNA from 1 species
GAAGUGGGCCGGACGGUCGCUGCUGUGGAGGUCUCCGUGACUGAAACAGGGGAGGAAAGUCCGGGCUUCAUAGGGCAUGGUGCCAGGUAACGCCUGGGCGGCGAAAGUCGACGGCAAGUGCAGCAGAGAGUAGACCGCCUCAUUCGUGAGGUAAGGGUGAAAGGGUGCGGUAAGAGCGCACCGCGUGUCUGGUAACAGUUCACGGCAAGGUAAACCCCACCAGAAGCAAGACCAAAUAGGAAUCCUGAGGCACGGCCCGUGCUGGAUUCGGGUAGGUCGCUUGAGCGUAUGAGUGAUUGUACGCCUAGAGGAAUGAUCGUCCUCGACAGAACCCGGCUUAUAGGCUCACUUCUCAA